CCAGCAAACUGUGAAAAAAGCAAUUGCAAAGGAUGUCUUUAUGGCUGAUUUAUCUAUAACAUCAAGGUUUCAUCAAAAUACUGGGAGAAAAAAGUUGUGCCAUAAGCCAAGAUCUACAGUAUCAAGCUCACAAAUAUAAGGUCACUCUGCACAUUAUUUUUGACUCUUCAUAUUUGAUGCCAAAGGAAUAUGUGCUUUUUCAAAGCUAAAGUGCAUUAAAAUCAAUUGUGACUAUAUGCAGGAGUGGGUAGAUGGAACUCCUUGUUAGCUUGGCUAAUUAAGACAGCCUGAUCACAAGGAGUCAAGAAGUACCCUAAAUGAAGAUCAAGGAAGCAGCUGUACAUAAUUUUGAUUUUUAUGUAAUAAAAUUCAGAAGCUUUUAUAGCACAAAGAUAUGCUUCUUUUUUAUGAAGAAUGAUCUCAACUAACAUCAGCGAAUAAAGUUGAAAAAUUAAUCAAAUAAACAA